rnacentral:rRNA from 1 species
AACGAACGCUGGCGGCAUGCCUAACACAUGCAAGUCGAACGAGACCUUCGGGUCUAGUGGCGCACGGGUGCGUAACGCGUGGGAACCUGCCCUUAGGUUCGGAAUAACUCCCCGAAAGGGGUGCUAAUACCGGAUAUUGUCUUCGGACCAAAGAUUUAUCGCCUUUGGAUGGGCCCGCGUUGGAUUAGCUAGUUGGUAGGGUAAAAGCCUACCAAGGCGACGAUCCUUAGCUGGUCUGAGAGGAUGAGCAGCCACACUGGUACUGAGACACGGCCCAGACUCCUACGGGAAGCAGCAGUGGGGAAUAUUGGACAAGGGGCGAAAGCAUGAUCCAGCAAUGCCGCGUGAGUGAUGAAGGCCUUAGGGUAGUAAAGCUCUUUUACCCGAGAUGAUAAUGACAGUACCGGGAGAAUAAGCUCCGGCUAACUCCGUG